rnacentral:rRNA from 1 species
ACCAGUAGCAAUAACCACAUUGAAUGCACCAGUUCCCAUAGGAUCACUUAUGUUAAGCAACGUUACGCAUGGUUGGUAUCCGGAGAGAUGAUCAUCUGGGCAAUCGCGUGCUGGCUUUUC